CCCAAAUGGGCAAAAACCAAUUUAUGCCACAAUCUUACAUGGAGCUGUAAUUGGCGUCAAACUGAAAUAAUUUCAAAGCGGUGUCUGAAAAUCAGCGAAGCCAUUUAGGUGCGAAACCAGAGCCGCCUCGCUGCCCGGGCUGGCUCCUCACUGUGCAAUCACACGUUUCGACAUUCGACGCUGUCAUCUGUUGACAUGGAAACCACUGAUAUCACCCGGCUCGCGACUGAGCUGACACAUAUCGAUGGCAUCCAGAUGGCCGGGGACAAAGUUUUAGUCCAAACACAGACAUCUUCAGCAAUUAGGAACAAGAGCAAGAGAAAACAUUUCUUAUUAAGCACAAGCUAGACAGGUUUUUGAUUAACCAUUCCCAUUUCCGUCAGCCUUGCAAAUUGGCACAAGCCCACAGGCCUGAGGCCUGGAAGUACUGGAAGUAAAUCGGGGUACUAGCCAGAAAGGAUUUUAAUAAAACCGGAGAGCACAGGCCUGAUUCUUCAGACUGACAUCAACAGAUGGGACACCGUUAACAUACUGAGACGUGUGGGAAGGCCCAGGAAACGUUUUGCAGACUGAUAACUUCGGGUAAAAAUCCACUGAGAAAAAUGGUUUUAAUGACUUCAUGGCCCACCUCUGGUAACGUCUUGCUUGAAAGGGAGCAGGUGGUAGAGAGGAGAAGCUGGACUCGUGAGCAUCCGGAAAAUCCAUCCUCUGGACAUAAUUGGGGAAGUCGCCAACAAGGAAGCCUAACCUGGUCAUUUCCAUUAAGAAGCAACCUUGCGAAGACGGGGUCGGACGUUGACAACCUUCCAGAAGAGGGCGAGAUGCUGAGGUCAGACUGGUCCUCCCUGGAGUGUGCGUGUGCGUGCGUGCGUGUGUGUGUGCGUGUGUGUGUGUGGGAGAGAGAGAGAGAGAGACGGAGGGAGGGAGGGAGCUGGCGCAGAGACUUAGGCAAGCCACAGGGUGCUCCAUCCUGCGCAGCGUGGGACAGAAUAGGAAGCGGCA